AGAACUCUCGAUUCUUUCUCUCUCUAACUUUUAUAUCGUCGUUUUGAGAAGAAAAAAAUCCCCAAUUUCUAAUCUCGAGCAAACACCAAUUUUCAGAAGAAAAAAAAUAUGUUGUUGUUUCUCGACUCAGACGGGCGUCAAACAUUCCACGCCGGCGAGUUCUCUUUCAACUUCCCCUCCCGCGAACGUACUUCUCAAAGCGAGGUCCAAAAUUAGGUAAACUUCUACCUUUAAUGUUAUUGAUUUUCUUAAAUUAAUUAUGUAUCCCAUCUCUCUCUCGGUGUAUAUUGAUUGAAGACUUUGGGGGAUAUUAUGUAGUUAAAAGAGUAAAUUUAGCACAAGAGUAUACGGGAAUUUCGAUUCUGCAGAAUUACUCAAAAUUUAUAAAUAUCAGGGGAACUCUUAUCUUUCACUACUAAUUGGAUGAUGUGUAUAAUUUUUGGGAUAUUGCUGAGUAUAUGCUGAUAAUAAAUUGUGGCACUGUUCACAAGAGCAAUUGUUUAUUUAACAUUGAUACAAAUUCUCUUGUGUUUAUAUUAGUAUAUUCAGUAGAAAUAUAAUAAAAUAAGACGAUAGGAUCUCUGGUAUCGUUGAAUUUUUGCAAAGUAUUGUGUAUCAUUUUGACGAAAUUAUUUAAAGAAACAAGAACCUUUACCUAUUAAACAAUCAGCAGUACGUGGGGGCUGCCUCGAUGCUACACCCGGUGUUUAUCACUGGGUCACCCUUCUGCUGCCACGUGGUUUUAAUUUCAGUUUUAAUUUUUUUUUUUAAUUUUAAUCAUAACUCUCUCUUUCUUCACCACAUAUACAACUUGUUUAUCCCUUUAAAAAGAAUAAAGUUCUUCUCCUCCGAUUCAUUAUUAAUCCAUCUUUGCAAUUGGAAAAGGGUGUGGGAUUUUAAUGGAACUAAAAAAAGUCUGAAAUUGUUCGAACUCAACCAAAAAAUUGCAAUCCCAAUUGUCUGUAUUAUUUUUAGUUUCAUAAAAAUUCCAACUACAACUUCAAGUAUAGAAUUAGAUGAAAAAGAGGAUCACAUGAAAUUUUCUUCAUUCUGAUUUAUGUCAUAUUAAUACCCUGUUGGAAAAAUUUUACUACUACUGUAAACGAAAUUAGAUGAAGUUUUAAUUAUAUGCUUGUUAUUUUGCAGCAGAUAAUUGCUUAGACCCAAAUUUCUCUUGUUCAUCUAAUUAUAUGCUUGGGAUGAAUUCUUCUCCUUUUUGUUUUACAUACAAAUAGCCUAAAUUUGGUUCAAUUAUAUAUACUAAAGCAGAUAUUUUGCAUCCUUUCAUUCAAUUCAUUUUUUUUAAUCUUUUCUCUUAUGUAAUUUGUGUAGUUUUUUUCAUAGUAUUUUGUAUAGAAAAUAACGUAAAAGUAUUUGUUCAUUUUUUUUUUCUUGUGUGUAAUUCAUCAACUUCGUUUUUUGAAUGUAGCAAUAAUGAGUUCUAUUAGAAGUGAUCAUAUUUGAAUGUAUAAUACCGAAGUGGAUCAAUCAGAAUCAUUGGAAUGAGUUGUUGACAUAUUGGAACACCCAAAAGUUUAGAGAUAAAUCGGAAAUUAAUUCCGAUAACAGAAACUCAAGUCAUGAUGGUUUAGGUCCCUCGUUGCAUACAUGAGGAUCAAUUCCAGUUUCAGAAUAUAAAAGAAAAGUCGUAAGUGUUAAUUUUGAUAUUUGAUAAUUAUAUUUUAUUUUACUAACACCAAUUAACUAUGUUUUUUAUUUUAUUUUUAGGUGAAAGAGAAAGGGGUAGAUACUACUGCUUCUGAGUUAUUUUUGAUGAUUCAGUAAACGAAACAGAAUAAAGAUUGGGUUGAUGGAAAAUCAAAAUCUGCCUAGGUAAGCAUCUACUUUACUAUAAUAUAAAAAUGUUAUGCUGCAAGAAUUGAGUUCUGGAGGAAAUUUCUUAUGAUUGUUUUUUAAUACUUUUUUGUGUGUUUUCAGUUACUGCUUCUGAAUAUGGAUCAUGUUGUUAGACAAGUUUCAUUUAUUUGAUAAUGUAUUGUAUAGUUUAAUGAAGAAAUGUAUAUUUAUUUAAUAUGCAUUGAUUAUUAAAAUUUGUGAUGUUUCAGUCUAAAUUUCAAACCAUCGUCAAGAGUCGUCAUUCAAGUGACAUGUCUGCGACACAGGGUGGUGGCGAAGGAAAUGAAGACGCAAGAAUCGAAAUUAAAAUCAAGAGAAAGACGAAGAAGAAGAUGGAGAUGAUGCAUUCAUGGCAAUAGCAUCUGCUCUUCGUAAAGAAGUUAUUGAUAAAGCGUGGCUCGAGGCAGUUUGAGGGCCAAUAAAAGGAAGAGUUUACGGUCUCGAUUCGGAAUCCAGUUAUGUUGUACAAGGAGGUGGUCCUACAUUUCAUGUUCCAACCGGUUCUUCAUCUGCAUCAUCUAUACCUUCUCAAUGCUUAUUUGAAACUCCUUCAUUCGAAGAAGCUGUUAAUCGAGCGGUGGAGCAAAAAUUAACCGAUAUUCAGGCUACUUUUCAAGAGGAACUGCAAGCCUUGAAAACAACCAUUCAAGAGAUGCGUGAAAGACAACCUGGAGGAGCUCGUAGAGAUGGACAGUAGCAUCGCACUUAUAUGGUAGAUUUUUUUUUUAUUACGACUAUUUUCUAUCGUUUGGAAGACGAGUAGUAACGCUUAGCCUUACAAUCUUGAAGAUUGUGUUUUGAAUUAUCAUUACGUGGAUAUUUAGAUAUGUUAGCUCAGUUGCAAGUUGUGUUUGGGUUAAUUUUAUGGAUUUUUAGGUCGGUGUUUUUUAUCUUAUUGUUGACUGGAUGUUGAUUAUGGCAAAAAGAAUAGUGUUUGAUUUUGAUCAUGUGUUUGUUGUCUUGAUUUGAUUGGUGGAUUAUGAGAGAAAGUGUGGUGCUUAUUUUUUGUAAGGAGGUGAAUAUUCCGGUAUAUAAUGCAUUGAAAUGGUUUUGG
rnacentral:lncRNA from 1 species